AUUGAACGCUGGCGGCAGGCCUAACACAUGCAAGUCGAACGAGUGGCGGACGGGUGAGUAAUGUCUGGGAAACUGCCUGACGGAGGGGGAUAACUACUGGAAACGGUAGCUAAUACCGCAUACCAUCGGAUGUGCCCUGAUGGGAUUAGCUAGUAGGUGGGGUAAAGGCUCCCCUAGUCGACGAUCCCUAGCUGGUCUGACAGGAUGACCGGCCACACUGGAACUGAGACACGGUCCAGACCCCUACGGGAGGCAGCAGUAGGGACUAUUGCACAAUGGGCGCAAGCCUGAUGCAGCCAUGCCGCGUGUAUGAAGAAGGCCUUCGGGUUGUAAAGUACUUACAGCGGGGAGGCGUUACCCGCAGAAGAAGCACCGGCUGACUCCGUGCCAGCAGCCGCGGUAAUAC
rnacentral:rRNA from 1 species